CCUGAGAAACCCAAAAGAUCGAAUGGGGAGAUUCAUCGUCAGCUCAUUUUGUAUAUGUAUAAGUUAUGAUGCGGGUUACUACUUGUAGUAUUGCCUGCACAUUCUUGUAUAUUUAGUUGCAAGAUGUUGUCGGCGUGCACUUCUCCCCUAGUAGGACGUCGCGACCUGUUGGGUGUCGGUCUACGGCCCAAGUGAUAGUCUUUAAUGUAAUUUAAAAAUCAUUAAAGAUCCUUGGUGUUUUCUGACCGGCUACUUGGCAGUAUUCGUACGGUAUUUAGCCGCUAAAUUUAUUAAGCGUCCAUAUCCGUCACAAGCGAGGCUAAUUUACUGAUAGUACGGACCUAGUGCCGUCGUUGGUAUUGGCCAGCUGUUGGUUGUAUGGUAUUCUAGGACUGGCUAAAAUUUAAUUACCGGUCGGCGAUGCUACUGCUUUGGGUACUUUCAGG
rnacentral:rRNA from 1 species